CGUCAGAUCAGCGCAGGUAGAGUAAGUAUAUGAGACGGACCGGAGAGACGUUCACGUCACUCGUUCUUGAACCUCUUCGUUCGUUUGUUCUGUAAAGAGUUCCUGCGUCGAUUUAUUUUUCCUCUUCAAUGGCUCAUUGCACAUUCUGUUUUGUAUUUUCUUUGUACUCGUGCGCGCCUUUUACCUCGCCGGUGACAUGCAACGAGGAGAACCUACGAGCAGAAUUUACGUUCAUCCGGAAGUCUUGUGUGACCAGUCAUCGUGGUUCUCGGGUCGAGUACACCGAUCAGGCUGGAAGGUUCGUACAAGCGUGUCGGGACAAAGGAUAAAAAGGAAGUGUUAACGACUCAUGGCACGAGCUAACGUGCCGAAGAUAUGUUUACCGCGCAAUCAGGUGGCUGCGCUAAAGAGGAAGAAGUUGCUCGCACCUUCCUGAUAACAAGCAAAGCUGCUGUGCUCACACUACAGUUCGCCACAGCGACAGUUUCGAUCCUUCUACGUUUACCUUUCGAACAUCUCGAUCUUUUUGAUUAAUUUUCUAUACAGCCGGCAACAGAGGAAGGAUGCCUUUAUAUGUUCGAGUGAAGAAUCGAAGGCGCGCACUAUGAAGAGAGCUAUCCAUCGACAGUAUGGCGAUAGUAGACACUGUCAUGGAGUUGCUCUCUUUGUGGACGUCGCUAUAUUCGGCGAUUAUUAAACGACACCAAUGAAAGUGGAAAAUUCACUUACUUGUUUAAGGAUCCUCGCUUGUCGAAGUUCGAAUAAAUGUACAUACUUUGCUUUUCAUUCUUCAUGUGAUUACCUACUGCAAAAACAAUGAAUAAUAAAAAAGCAGAAAAUAAUCUUUCCAUUGAGAAUCCUGUGUCUUCAAAUAAA